CACACUUUUAAUGUUCUUAUUAAAUUUUCCAUUCGUUUCAGUCACCACUGUUCUUCAGCGUUAACCUUGGUACAAUAUUCAUAGAUUGUAACUCUUGGAAUAAAAGUUUACAUGAAUAAGGACUCUGAUUGUGAUGAGGAUACGGCACUAAGCCAGCACAAACGCCGAGCAAAGUAAAUGGCUCUACUUCCAAGUGAGUCGUUCCUGCUUCAAUUUGGGACUCAUUGAAAGCAAUUGAGCUAUCAUUUUCCUCGUUCACAUCUAAGAAUUCUAUGAGACCUGGGAAACAGAAAAUUGUGAAUUUGGUGCUUCGAUGUGUUUUUGCUGAACAAGAGAUUCUCCAUCUUUGACUAUAAUAUAAGGUCUGCACAGUCUGCCACCAUCCGAACAUAUCUGCACACAUCUGGAGAAAAUUAUUGCAGUAUUAAGACUUCUAAGG